CUAAUUACUUCCUUUUCCGGCUUCCUCUCUGCCUUUUCAAACCUUUCAUUUUCUAUAGCUGGAUGGAGCCUUUUUUUGUUUGUUAGGUGGGAAGCUGCCCGAUUCAUGAGUUGUUCAGUAAAGCCAAUGUGAUCACUUCAAUUGCUGUUUAACAGAUUUGGUGGCCGUUGCAGAUUGAAGAAGACUGCUGAUAGGCGUGGUGCCUGCGAACUCUUUUUUGAGUUCACUGUCUUUCUCACCAUUUCUGAAGGCCAUGGAGGAAUUCGUGGAAGGGAAUCUGACAAGCUCUCUCAAAUACAGAUUUCUGAAAAUGUUCCAAUCAUACAACUGAACUGCUUUAAAUGGUGUUCCCAGCUGCUGACCACCCAGCAUGUGAUCUCCUGAAGACUGGACUGUCAGAAAAACAAUGAAGAGGACAAUGAGCUUAAAAAUUAUGAACUUUGGGAUACCUGUUGACUCAGUCGGUGGAGAGUGACAUCUAACCAACCAACCUGGAAGUCCCGGGGCAGCACUAGGAAAUUUACAGAUAGGCGCCUCCUGUGCCCCUUAGAAGGGAGACCUUACCUAAAACAAUACCCUCUUUGCUGAUAAUUCCCUCCCCUUCCCCUCCUCUCUGCCUUAACAAGCCUU